GUCUUGGGCACUUCCUGUGCGCCGCGGUCUCCCAAGGAAGACGGUGUUGCGUUGGCUUUAUUUAUCAUGGAGGAAAACGGGGCUUAGGAAUCAGAGUAGGGUUCGAUGGCGCAGGAGUGAGAACUAGGAAGCCAGUGACUCGGUUUCCCCGACAAUCCCUGCGCACUGCUGCCAAGGGGUCCCGAAGAGACCCGGCCAGCCCUGUCCUCCCAUCGUCCGGGCGCACUGAGGAGGCCCAGACACCGGAAGGAAUUGCACGAAGAUGGAAAUAACAAUCCUCGUGAGCUGCCACGUGAGACCACUGUUACUGCACGUUCACGUCCUCCCUGAGAAACUUCGGAAGAGAAAUCUGGACGCUCCAGGAGCCGCUGUUUACCCAGAGAGAAAGCCAAAUUUGAAGAAGUUGAUCUUUCCUGCUUACACUGGUUAGAUUUUGGAAAUCUGGAAAUGGAGCCAUUGGCAUUUCAAGAAAGUUCUGUCUGGAAAAAUAAAUUCUGUGACUUGUGUGCAACCCUUGAGAAGAUAGAGAACAUGGAAUGUGAGGGAGAACAAAGGACUGCAGGUGGUAGCUCUGAAAAUGAAAUCCUUAAAGUGUGGAAUUCCGUGCCGAAUAAUUGUAAGUCAAUGAAAGCACUUGGGAUUGCUUUUCUUACUUUGUUUGGAACAUCUCAUGUUUGUGAGCAGUUGUGUUCAGUUUUGAAUUCUAUCAAAUCUGAUACAGGAAACAGACUGACUGAUGAUGACCUGAGUCUGCAUGUGUUGCUCUCAAGCUAGCAAAGUGUGAGCCAAGGUUGACAGAUUAUCAGAUGCAUAGGACAGCAAGAUCACAUUAAUGGUGCAAAAGCAUGCCAAA